rnacentral:rRNA from 1 species
AGAGUUUGAUCCUGGCUCAGAUUGAACGCUGGCGGCAUGCCUUACACAUGCAAGUCGAACGGCAGCGCGGACUUCGGUCUGGCGGCGAGUGGCGAACGGGUGAGUAAUACAUCGGAACGUACCCUGUUGUGGGGGAUAACUAGUCGAAAGAUUAGCUAAUACCGCAUACGACCUGAGGGUGAAAGUGGGGGACCGCAAGGCCUCACGCAGCAGGAGCGGCCGAUGUCUGAUUAGCUAGUUGGUGGGGUAAAGGCCCACCAAGGCGACGAUCAGUAGCUGGUCUGAGAGGACGAUCAGCCACACUGGGACUGAGACACGGCCCAGACUCCUACGGGAGGCAGCAGUGGGGAAUUUUGGACAAUGGGGGCAACCCUGAUCCAGCAAUGCCGCGUGUGUGAAGAAGGCCUUCGGGUUGUAAAGCACUUUUGUCCGGAAAGAAAUCGCGCUGGUUAAUACCUGGCGUGGAUGACGGUACCGGAAGAAUAAGCACCGGCUAACUACGUGCCAGCAGCCGCGGUAAUA